GACAGAGGGUGCAAACGUUGUUCGGAAUUACUGGGCGUAAAGCGCGUGUAGGCUGCUCGGAAAGUCGGAUGUGAAAGCCCUGGGCUCAACCUAGGAAGUGCAUUCGAAACUUCCGAGCUGGAGUACUGGAGAGGAAGGCGGAAUUCUCGGUGUAGAGGUGAAAUUCGUAGAUAUCGGGAGGAACACCAGUGGCGAAGGCGGCGACCUGGGCCAAUACUGACGCUGAGGUGCGAAAGCGUGGGGAGCAAACAGG
rnacentral:rRNA from 1 species